GAUGAAGAACGCAGCGAAAUGCGAUACGUGAUGUGAAUUGCAGAAUUCAGUGAAUCAUCGAAUCUUUGAACGCACCUUGCGCCCUUUGGCCAUUCCGAAGGGCAUGCCUGUUUGCGUAUCAUGAACACCUCAACUCUUUAUGGUUUUCCAUGAUGAGCUUGGACUCUGGGGGUUUUGCUGGCUCACAGUCGGCUCCUCUAAAAUAAAUCAGCUUACCAGUGUUUGGUGGGUAUCAUGGGUGUGAUAACUAUCUACGCUUGUGGUUUUUCCACCAGGUAACCUUCAGCAGUGGAGGUUCGCUGGAGCUCAUAGACGUCUCUCCUCAGUGAGGACAGCCCUUUGAACGUUUGAUCUCAAAUCAGGUAGGACUACCCGCUGAACUUAAGCAUAUCAAUAAGCGGAGGA
rnacentral:misc_RNA from 1 species